AUGGCCACCUUAAACCCAUGUUUUGAAAGCGUGAGACAGAGCACACGAUUCACGCUCAAGGGAGAACGAGGUAGCAUGCAUUCUGGCAAGACGCGCAUUCAGCCAAGACUUGAGAGAAACCUGGCAGCCGUCUCCAAGUCUGGCACGAUUUCACCUCAGACGCACUCGGUUGGUUUGGAUGUUGAGGGAGACCGCACAAGAGAGAAGGAAAAGGAGGAAGAGAGCUGGAGAGCAAAGCUACCGCUCGGCGGCCGCCGCAGAGAGCAGGCCCGGGGCCUCUCAGCCAGGGGAUCUGGCUCCACCUACAGGAAUCAGAAUGCAAACCUAGUAGACGCCUCGGCGUCUGCAGGAACCCCGGUGGGGGCUGGGGGGAACUUGGAUAAUUGCCUAGAGCAUAUCCUAGCCAAUACGAAUGGGGGUCGGUGGAAGUGGAGGCUGGCUUGCAGUCCGCUGCUUGGUGCCCUGCGUCAGCUCCCCAGGGCCGCGGGGCUGCAGCGACUGCUGUUCAUCAACAACGCGGGCUCUCCUGGGGAUGUGUCCAAAGGCUUCGUGGACCUGGGUGACUCCACUCAAGUGAACAAAGACUGGGCGCUGAACUUGACCUCCAUGCUCUCUCUGCCGGACUUGCAGCGUCCUGAAGGCCUUCCCAACCAGUCUUGGCCUCAACAGAGCUGUGGUUAACAUGUCAACCCUCUGUGCCCUGCAGCCCUUCAAAGACUGGGCGCUGUACUGUGCGGGAAAGGCUGCUGCUAACAUACUGUUCCAGGUCCUGGCGUCGGAUGAACCUAAAGUGAGGGUGCCGAACUAGGCCCCAGGUGCUCCCGACACAGACGUGCCCCAGCGGUUAGCCCGGUAGACCUCCAUGGACCCAGACGUGCGAAAAGGCUGCAGGAGCUGAAGGCAAAGGGAGAGCUGGUGGAUUGCAGGGUGUCAGCCCAAAAACGGCUGAGCUUGCUGCAAAAGGAGGUGUUCAAGUCUGGAGACCACGUGGAUUUCUACGAUAAAUAAACCCAUGUGUUUGGCUUCCUGAACCUUUCUGCUCCCACUUUCAGACACACCCCAGAGCCCCGUGGCUCCCCACACCCUCCCAUGGUGGCAGUCCUGCCUUACACAGAUAAACACUCAUGUCUGCUGUCCUACCCUCACACAUCGCCUGCUGUGAUGAGCUUCCAGGUCGCUGGCCUUACUAGUUAUCGGGAGUCUGGACUUGGCACCCUGGAUUAUGAGGCGGCUUAGGAGAGAGGUUAUGGGUGUCCCUGUCUCUAUCCCUAGGAAUAGAAUUUAAGGGAUGGGAAGAGCAGGAAAAGAAGCUGAAACACACCAGGGAGGAGGUUGUGUCUCCUGCUCAUAGCUCGUCCAUGGGGAGAGGGAAGAGUGACCUGAGUCAAAUAGGAGGACACAUGCAGAUUCGCAGAUGGCCUGGCGGGGAGGAAGAGCAGAAGGUACAAGUCCCCGCCCACACAGAUGUCCCUCGCUGAAGGGAGCAGCACCUUCUGUUGAACUUUGUGUCCUCACUCUAAUGUCUCCUUCCUCCAGAAUCCACCAUCCCUCCCCCAGGCUGGGAGAAGGGGCCCUUGGGUGUCUGUGUACAUGGCCAAGGCAGAUACAAAUAAAAUU